rnacentral:rRNA from 1 species
GACAGAGGUGCCGAGCGUUAGGCGGAAUCACUGGGCUUAAAGCGUGUGUAGGCGGCCCGUUAAGUGUCUUGUGAAAUCCCCCGGCUCAACCGGGGAACGGCUGGGCAUACUGGCGGGCUUGGGUCGCUCAGGGGCAGACGGAACAGGCGGUGGAGCGGUGAAAUGCGUAGAUAUCAUUUGGAACGCCAAUGGUGAAAACAACUCGCUGGGGAAGUGCUGACGCUGAGACACGAAAGCCAGGGGAGCGAACGGG